rnacentral:rRNA from 1 species
GACGAACGCUGGCGGCGUGCCUAAUACAUGCAAGUAGAACGCACAGUUUAUACCGUAGCUUGCUACACCAUAGACUGUGAGUUGCGAACGGGUGAGUAACGCGUAGGUAACCUGCCUGGUAGCGGGGGAUAACUAUUGGAAACGAUAGCUAAUACCGCAUAAUAUUAAUUAUUGCAUGAUAAUUAAUUGAAAGGUGCAAUUGCACCACUACCAGAUGGACCUGCGUUGUAUUAGCUAGUAGGUGAGGUAACGGCUCACCUAGGCGACGAUACAUAGCCGACCUGAGAGGGUGAUCGGCCACACUGGGACUGAGACACGGCCCAGACUCCUACGGGAGGCAGCAGUAGGGAAUCUUCGGCAAUGGACGAAAGUCUGACCGAGCAACGCCGCGUGAGUGAAGAAGGUUUUCGGAUCGAAAAGCUCUGUUGUAAGAGAAGAACGGGUGUGAGAGUGGAAAGUUCACACUGUGACGGUAUCUUACCAGAAAGGGACGGCUAACUACGUG